rnacentral:tRNA from 2 species
UAGUUCAGUUCAGUGGUAGAACGUGAGUCUUCAAAAUCUGAUGUUGUAGGUUCAAAUCCUACAAAGCUAG